GACGAACGCUGGCGGCGUGCUUAACACAUGCAAGUCGAACGGACAGGCCCUGCUUUUGUGGGGUGCUCGUGUGGCGAACGGGUGAGUAACACGUGAGUAACCUGCCCUUGACUUUGGGAUAACUUCACGAAACUGGGGCUAAUACCGGAUAGGAGCUCCUGCUGCAUGGUGGGGGUUGGAAAGUUUCGGCGGUUGGGGAUGGACUCGCGGCUUAUCAGCUUGUUGGUGGGGUAGUGGCUUACCAAGGCUUUGACGGGUAGCCGGCCUGUGAGGGUGACCGGCGACAUGGGGACUAAGAUACGGCGCAGUCGCCAACGGGAGGCAGCAGUGGAGAAUAUUGCGCAAUGGGCGGAAGCCAGAGGCAGCAACGCCGCGUGCGGGAUGACGGCCUACGGGUUGUAAACCGCUGUCGCCUGUGACGAAGCGUGAGUGACGGUAAUGGGUAAAGAAGCACCGGCUAACUACGUG
rnacentral:rRNA from 1 species